UACGUAGGGACCGAGCGUUGUCCGGAAUCAUUGGGCGUAAAGGGCGUGUAGGCGGUUUGUUAAGUCAUGUGUGAAAUCCCUCGGCUCAACCGGGGAACGACGCAUGAAACUGGCAAGCUAGAGUACCAAAGAGGGGGGUGGAAUUCCCGGUGUAGCGGUGAAAUGCGUAGAUAUCAGGAGGAACACCGGUGGCGAAGGCGGCUAUCUGGACAGAGUCUGACGCUGAGGCGCGAAAGCUAGGGGAGCAAACAGG
rnacentral:rRNA from 1 species